AUUGAACGCUGGCGGCAGGCCUAACACAUGCAAGUCGAGCGAGCGGCGGACGGGUGAGUAAUGUAUGGGGACUGCCCGAUAGAGGGGGAUAACUCCUGGAAAAGGUAGCUAAUACCGCAUACUAUCGGAUAAUCCAUAUGGGAUUAGCUAGUAGGUGAGGUAAUGGCUCACCUAGGCGCCGAUCCCUAGCUGGUCUGAGAGGAGGAGCCGCCACACUGGGACGGAGACACGGCCCAGACUCCUACGGAGGCAGCAGGGGGGAAUAUUGCACAAUGGGCGCAAGCCUGAUGCAGCCAUGCCGCGUGUAUGAAGAAGGCCCUAGGGUUGUAAAGUACUUUCAGUCGGGAGGCGUUACCGACAGAAGAAGCACCGGCUAACUCCGUGCCAGCAGCCGCGGUAAUUC
rnacentral:rRNA from 1 species